rnacentral:rRNA from 1 species
UACGAAGGGGGCUAGCGUUGUUCGGAAUUACUGGGCGUAAAGCGCACGUAGGCGGAUACUUAAGUCAGGGGUGAAAUCCCGGGGCUCAACCCCGGAACUGCCUUUGAUACUGGGUAUCUCGAGUCCGGAAGAGGUGAGUGGAAUUCCGAGUGUAGAGGUGAAAUUCGUAGAUAUUCGCAAGAACACCAGUGGCGAAGGCGGCUCACUGGCCCGGUACUGACGCUGAGGUGCGAAAGCGUGGGGAGCAAACAGG